GUAGAAAGAUUUGUGGUUGCUGUGAUGACUAUCUUAGGACACCUUUGGAAUAACUAUGAAAGAAAACUAUUCUGAGCAACCCUUUCACCU